GCACGCUACGCUGUCCUGAACUGGAUUUACGUCGUCCCGCCAACCAGCAGACAUUUCAGAAAUAACGGUAUUUAUCUUAGAGGAUCGUAUCAGAGGGCUGGAAAGGACAAAACAUCUAUAGGAAUCAGAACCAAAUUCAGAGUCUAGCGCGGACCAGCAGGAGGCCAGUGCGGCUCCACAACUGGAGGCGGACUCUUUUCCCCCGGCUGCCGCCCACAGCACGCCUGUCAGGAAAGAGCAGAACGGCGACGAGAGAGCGGAGGGAGACGUGGUCCCACAGGGGAAUCAGCUGGAGCCAUCGCAGGCGGAGGAGGACAGGACCUCGUACAGGUCGUCCACCAGUAAGCUGUCCAGGUCUCCCGGUGGAGGACGGAGUGUCCGCAGCUCCAGGAACAUGCAGUGCAAGGUCACCCUGCUCGAUGGCUCCGUCUACACCUGCGUG